rnacentral:rRNA from 1 species
UACGGGGGGAGCAAGCGUUGUUCGGAUUUACUGGGCGUAAAGGGCGCGUAGGCGGCCAGCACAAGUCAGUUGUGAAAUCUACCGAGCUUAACUCGGAAAGGUCAACUGAUACUGUGCGGCUAGAGUGCGGAAGGGGGCAACUGGAAUUCUUGGUGUAGCGGUGAAAUGCGUAGAUAAUCAGGAGGAACACCGGGUGGCGAAGGCGGAUCUCUGGGCCUUACCUGACGCUGAGGCGCGAAAGCUAGGGGAGCAAACAGG